UUUAAACAUCGGCACCCUGCUGUUGCGAACCCUGAUUUAAAAAAAAUAAAAUUGGUUGUCUGUUAUAGACCCUUUCCAAUUAUCAGAGUACAAAGUUUUUCUCAGGUGAACAAUGGAAUUGAAUUUGAGAGGGGUGUUUACUGUCCAGAAAAGAUAAGCCCACAUCUCUUCUGCUAGAUUCCUCCAAUCACAUCAAUCUGACAAUCUCUUAAAUCUAACUGUCCAAAUGGUCCAUAUACAGCGCCUUAACCAGUUAGCGACUAUUCAGGGUCAGAGGAAAAAUGAAAUUAGGAUCAUGAUCUGUCAAAAAAACUGAACCAUAUGUUAAUAGCCUUAUGGACUUUUCAUAUUAACCAAGAAAUAUUAUAUCUCAUAUGUGAUGUUUUUUUUGUUUUUUGUUUUUUUUUUGGGGGGGGGGAAGGAUUGCAUGAUAAAAAGGGCUGGGACAAUGGUGGGAAUCGAACCGUGAUUGACAGACCUAUAGUAUAGAGCCAACAGUAUCACGUUUACCACUCAGCUACCGCCGUACCAAAGCAAGCAGUUUUCACAUUUAAAAAAAAAAAAUCACCUCCAAGGCAAUAACACAAAUGGGAUCUGGCAUUUAUGGCUAAGCAGUAGUCGAAACCAAACAUGGUUUAAAAAGAUCUCUCCGUUGCAUAGUCACUUGCAAGGAUGAACUCUAAUGUGAGAUUAUGAUUAAAACGACAUCAGUUGAAACUCCACAAGAUAAAUAUGGAGACCGCCCUCAAAUUAUGGAUUGCCCACUGUGUAAAUGCCAUAUUGUCACAGAAGCUAUCAAGAAAUACACAUUUAAAACACACUUAAUGGCAAUAUUUCUAGGUCUCUUGACAGCGUUGGUUUUACUUUGGGUUCCGUAUACAAUGGGGUGCUUCGUGACUAUAAAUCAUUACUGCCCAGUGUGUGAAUCUUACUUAGGCACUUAUCCUGAAAAUGAAAGAUAGUGUAAAUAUACCAAAAACUUAAAAGAAAUGCCAAUUUUGUUUUUUUAA